GUGGGGAAUAUUGGACAAUGGACGCAAGUCUGAUCCAGCCAUGCCGCGUGAAGGAUUAAGGUCCUCUGGAUUGUAAACUUCUUUUAUAAGGGACGAAAAAAGGCUUUUCUAAGUCGUCUGACGGUACCUUAUGAAUAAGCACCGGCUAACUCCGUGCCAGCAGCCGCGGUAAUACGGAGGGUGCAAGCGUUAUCCGGAUUCACUGGGUUUAAAGGGUGCGUAGGCGGGCAGGUAAGUCAGUGGUGAAAUCCUAGUGCUUAACUCUAGAACUGCCCUUGAUACUAUCUGUCUUGAAUAUUGUGGAGGUAAGCGGAAUAUGUCAUGUAGCGGUGAAAUGCUUAGAUAUGACAUAGAACACCUAUUGCGAAGGCAGCUUACUACGCAUAUAUUGACGCUGAGGCACGAAAGCGUGGGGAUCAAACAGGAUUAGAUACCCCUGUAGUCC
rnacentral:rRNA from 1 species